rnacentral:other from 1 species
CAGACCCUGGGGUGUUUGCGCUCUUGCCAUUUUGAACCUACAGACGUUAAAACGGGAUUCCUAUUAUCGCGCCGGCGAUGUCAGGCCUCAUCAGAUCAGUGGAAGGCAGAACCGUUCGCUGCGGAAACCCACCUGGCUUUUUUGCUAGGAGUCAUUCGGUAAGAAAACGGCACUUUGGGGUCUUC